rnacentral:lncRNA from 1 species
AUGAGGCGUACGGCGCAGCUACCAGAGCCCUGCUCCAAAACGUGUAUGAUGUCAUUGAGGUUCCAUCAUUACAGGCUGCAGAUGAGGCUGCUGUGGAUGGGCCAGAAGCACAGAGCUCCUCUGUAUUGUGUUGUGCAGAAGAAGGUGGAGCGGGAGCAGGCGGGGUGUGUGGUACGGGUUUGAUGUAGGGGGUGUGAGCGGUGCCAGAGUGCUCCAGAACUGCAGGGAACUCCUUCCAGAUCCCAGCUGCCCAAGCCUGGCUGCAAGCUGCAAGCAAGUGCCAGGCUUCUUUCGGCCUUCCUGGAGGAAUUCCAGCCUGCAUGGGAAGAGGAGGCAAUCAAGAAAAUGCCAAAAAUAAUGUCUGGGCCUAAAUAAAGUUAAUAUCAUGGGUCAGACAAUGCUGAGUCAUAAAGAAAGCAACCACUUGGGGAAGUUUUUAUAGAAGAAGCAAUUUAAAUUGUCUUCAAGAGGACCAAAGAUCACAUUUCAGUGCUUAAUCUGCUAUACCUGUUAUUUUUCCAAAUUAAAACAGAAUGGAAGAAACUCCUACAGGUCUAGGGCUGGUGCAACAGGGUAUGUUCUCAAAAUCAACAAGUUGCGGGCUUCUUGAAGGAGGCUUUUAGAUUAGACAUAUUCUUAUGUUCAGCAACUAGACAGUAUGAAAGAAUAGAAUGCUGGGAAAAGCCAAGAUGCAGCUUCUUCAGAAUGCUAUACCAUACUUUCAGGGGAAAAAAAAAAUUCAGAGAGGAUGCAAUAAAUUGAUCAGAAGUGACAGUAAUAACAUUUAUAAUGUCACAAAAGAUUUGUAUUUCAAAUAAAUAUUGUUCUUCUGAACUUUUGAUUCAUUAAAGAAUCCUGAAAAAUUAUAUCAUGGUCUCCACAAAAUGUUUCUUAAGUAAAUCAGCAUAUAAGAAUGAUUUCUGAAGGAUCAUUUGACACUGGAGAGUGGAAUAAUGGCUGCUGAAAAUUCAGCGUUACCAUCACAGGAAUAAAUUAAUAAAUUCAGCCUUGGUGAACAUAAGAGACCCUCAUGACUCAUCCCUAAACAGGCCAGUGUUAAAAUGGUACAAAUGAAUCAGAGGAUUCUGGCUUUUCUACAACAAGUUUAUCUAAGAAGUAUUUAAUGCAUUAUUUGUCUAACAAUCAUGGGACUGAGUUUAUUUUGAAGAUAAUUAUGGCUUUUGUUGAGCUGAUGGUCAAGAUAAGCAUGUGUUCCGAACCAUUAACUUGUGCGCUUGUUCUGGCAACGGCUAUACUUGUUUUGGUGUAGUUGAAAACUAUAACACUUGGGGAUUCCACACAUUGGCCCUGCCAAGUUUAUCCACAGGUGUUUCACUUUGGACUACUGAGACGUCACUAACCUGCAUAACAGUAGAGCACAACUGAAAAUCUCUUUCAGUACAGAGACGCCACAUAGAACAGAGAAUUUUUAUAUAUAAUAAAUAUAAAUAAUUGUUAACAGUUUACAAUAAUGUUAAGGGAUAGUUUCAUUUUCUCUCCCUUAUGUUGUUUCAGUUAUACUGUAUUUGAGCUUCAUUUUUCUGUGGAGCACAAAAAGACAUUGAAAAUUGUCAAUACAGUGUCCAAAUGUCCAUAUUACCCAUAAGGUCCACAUUGCCCAUACUGUCUAAU